rnacentral:lncRNA from 1 species
CUAGAUAUCGAAAUAAGCACCCUAGUGUGGAUAUAGUUAAUAUGAAGCAGUUGCAAAAUUUAAAUCUUCAUCCCACAUAAGUGCAGAAAUUGUUAAAGCAAUUAGCCGAUGAGAGGUGUGGAGCAAAAAAUAAUCAAGAAAAUUAUGAAGGCGACAUGUGGAUUUUAGGGGUGAAAAAGACAAAAUUACCCCUAGGGCACAUCAUGACUCUCACGCGCAUGCAACGGACAAUAACGACACAAUCGAGGUCAAAUGUGAUCAAAAUGACAUUCUUUUAAACCAUCUCAUCACUCCUCAUCAAAUUCUCACCCACAAGGUAACUUCCAAUUAUUCUUUUCAAAUUGGGAUUAAUUAGCAAAAUUAAUUGAUUAAUUGCCCAAAUUAAUUGCAAGAUAUUAUUUCACAUAAUAUCCUGCAAUCAAUCCCACAAAUAAACCAAAUGCGGCGGGUCCCAAUUCUCCUAAUAGGGCCGGCCACACCCCUAUAUAUAGCCACUCAUUUUCUCCAAAACCUAAGUUCAAUUCUCUUCUAAAAUUCUCUAAAUUUCUCUAAACACUUUUCCCUUAAAUUCCAACUUUGUCAUCGGAGAUUCUUCGGCCAAAGCCCCCCAUUCAUCAUGGGCGCAUAAGCCUCUUGACUUUAAUCUUAGGUGUUAAUUGUUUUGCAAGUGCAUUUUCAUCCAAGAAGAAGAAGGCGGAAAUUUGCAUUCACAAAUUGGUGCUUUCAUUGAGAGUCUUGAUUUACACACUCGUAGAAAACUCUCGCAUUUAAGGUUUCUAAUUUUUUGUUCAUUCGUAGAUUUUUCGUACGUUCUUAUUUCUAAAAUUUUUUAUACAAAAAUUCUUUGAAUAAACAUAAAAGAAAAGUACAAUGACAAGAGA